rnacentral:tRNA from 1 species
CCCUGGUUAGCUCAGUUGGUAGAGCGCUCACCUGUAAUGGAGAGGUCCCGGGUUCGAUACCCGGACCAGGAG